CGAAAGCCUGACGGAGCAAGACCGCGUGGGGGAGGAAUGCCUUAGGGUUGUAAACCCCUUUUAUCUGGGAAGAACAAAAUGACGGUACCAAAGGAAUCAGCCUCGGCUAACUCCGUGCCAGCAGCCGCGGUAAUACGGAGGAGGCAAGCGUUAUCCGGAAUGAUUGGGCGUAAAGCGUCCGCAGGUGGCAAUGUAAGUCUGCUGUCAAAACCCAGGGCUCAACUACUGAAAGGCAGUAGAUACGGAAGGACGAGAGUGCGGUAGGGGCAGAGGGAAUUCCCGGUGUAGCGGUGAAAUGCGUAGAUUUCGGGAAGAACAUCGGUGGCGAAAGCGCUCUGCUGGGCCGCAACUGACACUCAGGGACGAAAGCUAGGGGAGCG
rnacentral:rRNA from 1 species